UACGUAGGUGACCAGCGUUGUCCGGAUUUACUGGGCGUAAAGAGCGCGCAGGCGGUCGUUCAAGUCGAGUGUGAAAGCCCCCGGCUCAACUGGGGAGGGUCAUUCGAUACUGAUCGACUUGAAGGCAGGAGAGGGAAGCGGAAUUCCCGGUGUAGUGGUGAAAUGCGUAGAUAUCGGAAGGAACAUCAGUGGCGAAAGCGGCUUCCUGGACCAGCACCGACGUUCAGGCACGAAAGCGUGGGGAGCAAACAGG
rnacentral:rRNA from 1 species